rnacentral:rRNA from 1 species
AAAAGGGUAGCAAUACCCUGAGUACAGCGGCGCACGGGUGAGUAACACGUGGGUAAUCUGCCCUGGAGUGGGGAAUAACACCGGGAAACCGGUGCUAGUACCGCAUACGAUCACGAUGUCUGCGGAUGUUGUGAUGAAAGGAGCAAUUCGCUCCAGGAGGAGCCCGCGGCUGAUUAGCUAGUUGGUGAGGUAACGGCUCACCAAGGCUACGAUCAGUAUCCGGUCUGAGAGGACGGUCGGACACACUGGAACUGAGACACGGUCCAGACUCCUACGGGAGGCAGCAGUGGGGAAUUUUUGGCAAUGGGGGAAACCCUGACCAAGCAACGCCGCGUGGGUGAUGAAGUCCUCUCGGGACGUAAAACCCUUUCGACGGGGAAGAAACCGCCAGGUUGACGGUACCCGUAGAAGAAGCCCCGGCUAACUCCGUGCCA